AAGACUAUACUUUCAGGGAUCAUUUCUAUAGUUCGUUUCUAGAUGAAGCUUCUCUGAUCGUGUAGAGCACCCGAAACCACGAGGAAGAGACGCAGCGUUUUCUCCUGAGCGUGAAGUUGGCUUUUGGUGCUGUUUGUGCAGCUGCCACGGGUCGUUGAUGAUCGUUCUUCUCUCCUGUUUUGGGAGAGUGAGAGGGAGAACUCAGAACGCCGUCUGAGUGGU